rnacentral:rRNA from 1 species
AUAACAUCGAGAAAUUGGUACUAAUACCCCAUAACAUCACCGGAGGCAUCUUCGGUGGUUGAAAACUCAGGUGGUCAGAGAUGGACAUGCGUUGUAUUAGCUAGUUGGUGAGGUAACGGCUCACCAAGGCGACGAUACAUAGGGGGACUGAGAGGUCAACCCCCCACAUUGGUACUGAGACACGGACCAAACUCCUACGGGAGGCAGCAGUGAGGAAUAUUGGUCAAUGGACGCAAGUCUGAACCAGCCAUGCCGCGUGCAGGAAGACGGCUCUAUGAGUUGUAAACUGCUUUUGUACGAGGGUAAAUCCCGAUACGUGUAUCGGGUUGAAAGUAUCGUACGAAUAAGGAUCGGCUAACUCCGUGCCAGCAGCCGCGGUAAUACGGAGGAUUCAAGCGUUAUCCGGAUUUAUUGGGUUUAAAGGGUGCGUAGGCGGUUCGAUAAGUUAGAGGUGAAAUCCCGGGGCUCAACUCCGGCACUGCCUCUGAUACUGUCGGGCUAGAGUUUAGUUGCGGUAGGCGGAAUGUAUGGUGUAGCGGUGAAAUGCAUAGAGAUCAUACAGAACACCGAUUGCGAAGGCAGCUUACCAAACUACGACUGACGUUGAGGCACGAAAGCGUGGGGAGCAAACAGGAUUAGAUACCCUGGUAGUCCACGCAGUAAACGAUGAUAACUGGUUGUCGGCGAUAAAAUGUCGGUG